UGAAAAAUUGCACAAAAUCGUAGUUUUAUUUAACCUCCUACUUCACUUGUAUUUCAAAUUGACACGGGGCUCAUUUGAAAUUCUUGUUGAAAAAAAUAUUUUUUAAAUAUAUUAAUAAAAUAUAUUUAAAAAUUAAUUUUAAUUAAUUUUAAUUAUAAAAAUAUUAAAAUAAUAAAAUAAUUUUUUUAAAUUAUUAUUUUUAAUAAUAUUUAAAAUAAUAUUUUUAUUUAAAAAAAUAAUUUAAACCUUCAUAAUUCAAUUCAAUGUGAAACGAGCUAAAAAGUCUUAAUAAUCAUUAUUGUGCCGUGUGCAUCGAAUGAACGUUGAUUCUGAAUUUCAUUUUUAUUUUUAUCUUUUUCAAAUUUUUAUGGCCUUGCUUUUGGUGGUCCUUAAACGCGUCAUCGCAAUGCCACCUAAGUUACGAUAUUUUCCACAGGUCCCGACAAUGCCCUUGAGAAACAACAUCCACUUUUACAAUUGUUUAAUUAUAUUUUUAUCCCCAACACUUCCCAUAAUUAAAAGUUAGUCUCUACCUUGUUGUGGUAUAUAGAAACCAUCUCUCCAACUGCUAAGCAAUUACCAUGGGAGCCGAUCUGUUUUUGGUGUGUAUUGGAAGAGAGAAAGAGAGGGUUGGAGGAAGUUCAUGGAGAUGGGUGGCUAGGCAAGAAGAAAAAGAAGGCUUUGUCUAAUCUCGGGUCAUCGUCUUGCCUACGCCACCCAUUCCAUCCACUUCCUUCAAUUUCUCCCUUUCUCUUUCAGAUCUAUGUAAACACAUGAAUAGAGAGAGGAUAAGAGGGAAAGGGAGAGGGUUGCUGGGAGUUAUGGGUAUGGGGGGAUUGGGCAUGAUUGCUUGCUUUGUUCAAAAGCAUAGACUAGCUAAUUUUUCCCGAGACCUCCCAUACCAGUGAUCUCCAGCUGUUUCCUUCCCUUCCCUAGCUUGUUCUUGGUUUUGUUUUAUCAACUUCUACACCAAGUCUGAUUAAUGAAGCCUGGAUCUGUUGAUUAAUGGAUGGAUCUGGGUCUAUAGUGGUUGAAGCACCAACAAAUUUCAGCAUCUGUUAAAAGUAUACUCCUGUGGGUUUUCAGUGCCUUUACUCUGUGAAAUCAACUCUCAGAGGAGUUCUUACUUUUGGCAAGAGUAACUUCGAUGAAAAAUAUGAAGUCUCUUUGGUGGACUUCACAGAGACUGAUGAGCUUGUUCUUAAUCUGGUGUUUUUGGGUUGCUGCUGAAAUCUACAAAAAAAAAAAAGUAAUAAUAAUAAAAUAAAAUAAAAUAAAAUAAAAUCUUAUCUUGCAAUAUCUCUUUAAGAAUUAUAACUUUCAUUCUCAGAAAUGAUUUCCUGUAACAUAACAAUCCAAACAACGCAGAGCUAAGAAAGGCUCUGACCGAGUAACAUAAUCAACAUCGCUAAAUGCUUUAACUAACUCGUGAGCAAUCUUUUUAGCUUCUCCAAGAAUCCAACGAAGGGAGAAGUCCCUUCAAUGCUGGAUAUAUUAUUAGUCAGACAUAGUGAACAAAACACUAUACAGCUUACCUUAGCAAAAUGCAUAUUUUGUUGAGAAUUGUUGAUUAUAUAGGCCUUAAUAAUUCAGGCAUAUUGUUUUUUUAUCUAUACAAAUGAAUUAAUGAUGACAAUAAGAAGAAAGUUACUAAAGAAAAAAAGAAAUUUGGUUCGCUGAA